ensembl:sense_intronic Gm37107 predicted gene, 37107
ACAUGCACACGUGUUCAUGCAGGUGUGGCUAUAUGAGUGUAUAUUACCUGGAGGUCCACACUGAAUGUCUUCAAUCGCUCUCCAGCUUAUGUUUUGAGACAUGUCUCUAACUGACCCUAGAGCUCACUAGUUUGACUUGACUGGCAGGCCAGAGAGCUCCAGGAUUCUCCUCUCUUUGAUCUCCAUCACAGGGCUUUUAAACAUGUGAUCCUGUGCGCCUUGUUUUACAUGGCUCCUGGGAAUCUACUCAGGUCCUUAUGCUUGCAUAGUGGGCACAUUACUGACGAAGCCGCCGAAGCCAUCAUCCCAUCCCUGGGCGCUAUUUGCAUUGCAGAAACAAUGUGCUGGCAGCCAACUGUAGGAAAAAGUGCAAGUCUAUACAUUUUAGGAGGGUUGGCUUUUUUUAAAUUGACUAUUAAAAUACUACCUAGCUGAAAGUGCUUGUCUUUGCCUAUCUAUAGAACGCUCUCCCACCCCACCCCUCACACCCAUUUUUGGUAAAUGAGGACACUAGAGUAACAUCUAAGAUGCCUUCCAGGUCAUAAUAUCUUAGAUGCUUAGGAAAAUCUAAGCAUUGCUUUUGGUGUGUGUAUUCUAGGCAAAUCCUUCAAAUCCACAUCCCAGCGCAGAUUUCCAGCUAAGGGCACAGAGCUUGAUGCUAUGGUCUCUCUUAAUUCUUUUAGGUGUUUUCUGGAGUUUUGACAGUACACUCUGAGAGGCAGCCACCAUGAGACUGUACCUUUUGAAUGGUCAGCGUUUUCCUCAGUCAGAUUUUUACUUAAAUCACUUGACAGUUUCCCUUAACAGCUCACUCCGCUUAGAAAACCUGGGCUCAACGGUUUACAGAUGAUCAUCAGCCCGUGUACAUAAAUGAUGUGCAUGUCUUGAAUAACCAUUACGACAGACAGAAAGAAAACACACUCAAGGGAUUUAAUGAAAGAAGAGUGGAAAAUUCCAGUUAAAACUAAAUAUUUUCUUUUCGAAGCAGUUUUGCUUUAAAAUACUGUUGUUCAUUUCUUGUAAUGCUCCUGUCUGUAACACAGACUUUAUCAUAUAGUAUUGAUCCUGUUAAAAGCCAGUCACCCAGCUUCUUUUAUAACUCUUCCUUUAUUUGAACAUAGUAUGUUAGAGAAAAUACAUGCUUUGUUAUAUUUAAAGGGAAGUAAGAUUUUAUUUGACCAAUCAACCUUUAUUGAAUUCUGUUUCUACAGCAGGAUCCAAAGAUAAAUAACUACUGGUAGUAUAUGUGAAUCUCUCUCUCUCUCUCUCUGUCUCUCUCUCUGUCUCUCUCUCUCUUUCUCAUAUCACUCUCUAAAUUUGACCAAGUUCAUGGUGGGAAACAUUGUGGAGAAGGAAGUGGAAGCAGCUGUUAUAAAAUGUUGGAGAGGAUGGAAGCCAUUAGUGACCUGCAGUUGCAGUGGCCUGUGGGUAGAAGAGAGGAGGAGAAGACCUAGGUUAGUACCCAGGAAGGAUACAUGGGACAAGAAACCUGGUGGGUGGGGCCCAGCUUCAGAGGGGACUAGCUGGAACCUCAUCAUUGGAUGGAGGGAUGAGGAAGGGUGUUUUGUGCCAAAGGGCAAAGCAGGAUGAAAAUGCUGGGCAUGGUUCCUGGGCUGAGACUGUCACCUAACGAACAGGGAGUGACAGGGACAGGCUGAGCCGAGGACUAUUGGUGCGGAGGUUGUACCAUGUGUCCAGGUCAUUUUCUUAUGAAAUAAUGAUAAAUAGCUGCUGCUGCACUCCUCCUCCUCCUCCCACUCCUCCCUCUCCUCCUUCUUUUUGUCCCCCCCCCCCCUCAUUUCCUCCUCUUACUCCUUCCUCUGCUGCUAUGGAACUCAGAUGCCACUCCCAACAUAACCAUACAGUUUUGGGACAUACAGACUAUUCAAUACACUUCUUUGUCUUCACUUACAUCUUCUGGGUGGAGACUUUUCAAGCAACUUUCUCUACCCAUGUUCAGGGCCAUAGGCACCCAAUAAAAUUAGUACCAUCACCUAAGUGCAGAAAUCUUGCCUAAUCUCCAUUCCCUGACUCCACGUUCUUCUUUCUCCUUGGCAUGUUCCUUUAUGUCAGGAUCUGUCUUCUCAUUCUAAACAAAGCUCUUCAGAUGCAUACUCAUUGUCUUUCCCAUUAUCCUGUAGACAGAGUCCCUGCCAUGCAGUGGCAAGGGCUGGCUACUUACCUGCCAUGUGACCUGUCUCAAGCUUCUGGCCAGACCUCAGUACUCCCAGAACCCUCUUUUAUCUGAGAAAGAUAAUGACAAAUUUCUUGUUCCUUUAGACUUCUAGUCUUGUGCAUAUAUAUAUAUGUACAUAUAUAUAUAGAGAUAUAGAUAUAGAUAGAUAGAUAGAUAGAUAGAUACAUAUAUACAUAUCUGAAUGUACACACACACUGGGCUGAGUGGGGCAACAGCAUCUUAUCUGUUAUUAAAGGGUUAAUAAAUAUAAUGCAAUGGUCUUUACUUUCCUUGUAUGGACACAGAGAGGGAAACUGGACCACAGAUGGACAGGUCUAAGACAGACUGAGGAAAUCAACUCAAGAUAAUUAAAGUACC